UGGUUUAUCGUUCAAUGGAACAGGACACCUCACUACGAAUGAGGAGAUGCAGGUUCGAAUCCUGCUAGACCAA
rnacentral:tRNA from 1 species